AUGGCUCAGGAUGAACGCUAGCUACAGGCUUAACACAUGCAAGUCGAGGGGCAGCAUGUUGGUUGCUUGCAACCAAUGAUGGCGACCGGCGCACGGGUGAGUAACGCGUAUCCAACCUUCCCCUUAGUAGGGCAUAGCCCGUAGAAAUGCGGAUUAAUACCCUAUGUUGUAUAUUGAGGACAUCUGAUUUAUACCAAAGGUUCACCGCUAAGGGAUGGGGAUGCGUCUGAUUAGGUUGUUGGCGGGGUAACGGCCCACCAAGCCGACGAUCAGUAGGGGUUCUGAGAGGAAGGUCCCCCACAUUGGAACUGAGACACGGUCCAAACUCCUACGGGAGGCAGCAGUGAGGAAUAUUGGUCAAUGGACGAGAGUCUGAACCAGCCAAGUAGCCGUGCAGGAUGACGGCCCUAUGGGUUGUAAACUGCUUUUGUAUGGGAAUAAAGUGCGGGACGUGUCCCGUUUUGUAUGUACCAUAAGAAUAAGGACCGGCUAAUUCCGUGCCAGCCGCCGC
rnacentral:rRNA from 1 species